GACGAACGCUGGCGGCGUGCUUAACACAUGCAAGUCGAACGGAAAGGCCUCUUUCGGGGGGUACUCGAGUGGCGAACGGGUGAGUAACACGUGAGUAACCUGCCCUUGACUUUGGGAUAACUUCAGGAAACUGGGGCUAAUACCGGAUAGGAGCUCCUGCUGCAUGGUGGGGGUUGGAAAGUUUCGGCGGUUGGGGAUGGACUCGCGGCUUAUCAGCUUGUUGGUGGGGUAGUGGCUUACCAAGGCUUUGACGGGUAGCCGGCCUGAGAGGGUGACCGGCCACAUUGGGACUGAGAUACGGCCCAGACUCCUACGGGAGGCAGCAGUAGGGAAUAUUGCACAAUGGGUGGAAGCCUGAUGCAGCAACGCCGUGUGCGGGAGGACGGCCUUCGGGUUGUAAACCGCUUUCGCUCAUGACGAAGCUUUGUGUGACGGUAGUGGGUAAAGAAGCACCGGCUAACUACGUG
rnacentral:rRNA from 1 species